rnacentral:tRNA from 1 species
GGUGCUGUGGCACAGUGGGUUAAUGCACUGGCCUGAAGUGCCGGCAUCCCAUAUCGACACCAGUUCGAGACCGGGCUGCUCCA